GUUGUAUGGUUAAGUGACUAAGCGUACACGGUGGAUGCCUUGGCAGUCAGAGGCGAUGAAGGACGUAGUAACUUGCGAUAAGCCCAGAUUAGGUAGUAACAACCAUUUGAGUCUGGGAUUUCCGAAUGGGGAAACCCACUUACAUAAGUAAGUAUCAUUAACUGAAUACAUAGGUUAAUGAGGCGAACCGGGGGAACUGAAACAUCUAAGUACCCCGAGGAAAAGAAAUCAACCGAGAUUCCGAAAGUAGCGGCGAGCGAAAUUGGACUAGCCCUUAAGCUUUACACGCGUUAGACGAACGGUCUGGAAAGUCCGACGAUACAGGGUGAUAGUCCCGUAGUUGACGACGUGUGUUCAGUGAAAUCGAGUAGGGCGGGACACGUGAUAUCCUGUCUGAAUAUGGGGGGACCAUCCUCCAAGGCUAAAUACUACUGACUGACCGAUAGUGAACCAGUACCGUGAGGGAAAGGCGAAAAGAACCCCUGUGAGGGGAGUGAAAUAGAACCUGAAACCGUGUACGUACAAGCAGUAGGAGCAGGCUUUGUCCUGUGACUGCGUACCUUUUGUAUAAUGGGUCAGCGACUUAUAUUCAGUGGCAAGGUUAACCAUCUAGGGGAGCCGUAGGGAAACCGAGUCUUAACUGGGCGUUCAGUCUCUGGAUAUAGACCCGAAACCAGGUGAUCUAGCCAUGGGCAGGUUGAAGGUUGAGUAACAUCAACUGGAGGACCGAACCGACUAAUGUUGAAAAAUUAGCGGAUGACUUGUGGCUAGGGGUGAAAGGCCAAUCAAACCUGGAGAUAGCUGGUUCUCCCCGAAAGCUAUUUAGGUAGCGCCUCGGACGAAUACUACUGGGGGUAGAGCACUGUUAAGGCUAGGGGGUCAUCCCGACUUACCAACCCUUUGCAAACUCCGAAUACCAGUAAGUACUAUCCGGGAGACACACGGCGGGUGCUAACGUCCGUCGUGGAGAGGGAAACAACCCAGACCGCCAGCUAAGGUCCCAAAUUACUACUAAGUGGGAAACGAUGUGGGAAGGCUCAGACAGCCAGGAUGUUGGCUUAGAAGCAGCCAUCAUUUAAAGAAAGCGUAAUAGCUCACUGGUCGAGUCGGCCUGCGCGGAAGAUGUAACGGGGCUAAGUAGUAAACCGAAGCUGCGGCAAUAUACUUUUGUAUAUUGGGUAGGGGAGCGUUCUGUAAGCGGUUGAAGGUGUGUGGUAACGCAUGCUGGACGUAUCAGAAGUGCGAAUGCUGACAUGAGUAACGAUAAAGGGGGUGAAAAACCUCCUCGCCGGAAGACCAAGGGUUCCUGUCCAACGUUAAUCGGGGCAGGGUAAGUCGACCCCUAAGGCGAGGCCGAAAGGCGUAGUCGAUGGGAAACGGGUUAAUAUUCCCGUACUUCUUACAAUUGCGAUGGGGGGACGGAGAAGGCUAGGUGGGCCUGGCGACGGUUGUCCAGGUUCAAGUGCGUAGGCUUGAGAGUUAGGUAAAUCCGGCUCUUUUUAAGGCUGAGACACGACGUCGAGCACCUACGGGUGUGAAGUCAUUGAUGCCAUGCUUCCAGGAAAAGCCUCUAAGCUUCAGAUUGUAAGGAAUCGUACCCCAAACCGACACAGGUGGUCGGGUAGAGAAUACCAAGGCGCUUGAGAGAACUCGGGUGAAGGAACUAGGCAAAAUGGUACCGUAACUUCGGGAGAAGGUACGCUCUUGAUGGUGAAGUCCCUUGCGGAUGGAGCUGACGAGAGUCGCAGAUACCAGGUGGCUGCAACUGUUUAUUAAAAACACAGCACUGUGCAAAAUCGUAAGAUGACGUAUACGGUGUGACGCCUGCCCGGUGCCGGAAGGUUAAUUGAUGGGGUUAGACUUCGGUCGAAGCUCUUGAUCGAAGCCCCGGUAAACGGCGGCCGUAACUAUAACGGUCCUAAGGUAGCGAAAUUCCUUGUCGGGUAAGUUCCGACCUGCACGAAUGGCGUAAUGAUGGCCACGCUGUCUCCACCCGAGACUCAGUGAAAUUGAAAUCGCUGUGAAGAUGCAGUGUACCCGCGGCUAGACGGAAAGACCCCGUGAACCUUUACUACAGCUUGGCACUGAACAUUGACCCUACAUGUGUAGGAUAGGUGGGAGGCUUUGAAGCACGUACGCCAGUAUGUGUGGAGCCGUCCUUGAAAUACCACCCUUGUAGUGUUGAUGUUCUAACGUCGACCCCUUAUCGGGGUUGCGGACAGUGCCUGGUGGGUAGUUUGACUGGGGCGGUCUCCUCCCAAAGAGUAACGGAGGAGCACGAAGGUGGGCUAAUCACGGUUGGACAUCGUGAGGUUAGUGCAAUGGCAUAAGCCCGCUUGACUGCGAGAAUGACAAUUCGAGCAGGUGCGAAAGCAGGUCAUAGUGAUCCGGUGGUUCUGAAUGGAAGGGCCAUCGCUCAACGGAUAAAAGGUACUCCGGGGAUAACAGGCUGAUACCGCCCAAGAGUUCAUAUCGACGGCGGUGUUUGGCACCUCGAUGUCGGCUCAUCACAUCCUGGGGCUGAAGUCGGUCCCAAGGGUAUGGCUGUUCGCCAUUUAAAGUGGUACGCGAGCUGGGUUUAGAACGUCGUGAGACAGUUCGGUCCCUAUCUGCCGUGGGCGUUGGAAGAUUGAAGGGGGCUGCUCCUAGUACGAGAGGACCGGAGUGGACGAACCUCUGGUGUUCGGGUUGUGUCGCCAGACGCAUUGCCCGGUAGCUAAGUUCGGAAUCGAUAACCGCUGAAAGCAUCUAAGCGGGAAGCGAGCCCUGAGAUGAGUCUUCCCUGAUACUUUAAGUAUCCUAAAGGGUUGUCGGAGACUACGACGUUGAUAGGUCAGGUGUGUAAGUGCUGUGAGGCAUUGAGCUAACUGAUACUAAUUGCCCGUGAGGCUUAACCAUACAACACCCAAGGGGUUU
rnacentral:rRNA from 1 species